UACAUAGGGUGCAAGCGUUGUCCGGAAUUAUUGGGCGUAAAGAGCUCGUAGGUGGUUAGUUACGUCGGAUGUGAAAAUCUAGGCUCGAACCCUAGACCUGCAUUCGAUACGGGCUAGCUUGAGUUUGGUAGGGGAGGACUGGAAUUCCUGGUGUAGCGGUGGAAUGCGCAGAUAUCAGGAGGAACACCAAUGGCGAAGGCAGGUCUCUGGGCCAAUACUGACACUGAGGAGCGAAAGCGUGGGGAGCGAACAGG
rnacentral:rRNA from 1 species